UACGUAGGUGGCAAGCGUUGUCCGGAAUUAUUGGGCGUAAAGCGCGCGCAGGCGGUCCUUUAAGUCUGAUGUGAAAGCCCACGGCUCAACCGUGGAGGGUCAUUGGAAACUGGGGACUUGAGUACAGAAGAGAAGAGUGGAAUUCCACGUGUAGCGGUGAAAUGCGUAGAGAUGUGGAGGAACACCAGUGGCGAAGGCGACUCUUUGGUCUGUAACUGACGCUGAGGCGCGAAAGCGUGGGGAGCAACAGG
rnacentral:rRNA from 1 species